rnacentral:rRNA from 1 species
UACGAAGGGGGCUAGCGUUGCUCGGAAUCACUGGGCGUAAAGCGCACGUAGGCGGCUUUUUAAGUCAGGGGUGAAAUCCUGGAGGCUCAACCUCCAGAACUGCCUUUGAUACUGAGAAGCUCGAGUCCGGGAGAGGUGAGUGGAACUGCGAGUGUAGAGGUGAAAUUCGUAGAUAUUCGCAAGAACACCAGUGGCGAAGGCGGCUCACUGGCCCGGUACUGACGCUGAGGUGCGAAAGCGUGGGGAGCAAACAGGG